UACGGAGGGGGCAAGCGUUAUUCGGAAUCAUUGGGCGUAAAGCGCGUGUAGGCGGUUCGGUAAGUCGGCUGUGAAAGUCCAGGGCUCAACCCUGGGAUGCCGGUCGAUACUGCCGGACUAGAGUUCGGAAGAGGCGAGUGGAAUUCCCGGUGUAGCGGUGAAAUGCGCAGAUAUCGGGAGGAACACCAAUGGCGAAGGCAGCUCGCUGGGACGUUACUGACGCUGAGACGCGAAAGCGUGGGGAGCAAACAGG
rnacentral:rRNA from 1 species